UUCCCCAACCAGGGAUUGAACCUGGGCCACAGCAGUGAAAGUGCUGAAUCCUAACCACUAAACCACCAGGGA
rnacentral:tRNA from 1 species